rnacentral:rRNA from 1 species
AACGAACGCUGGCGGCAUGCCUAACACAUGCAAGUCGAACGAGACCUUCGGGUCUAGUGGCGCACGGGUGCGUAACGCGUGGGAACCUGCCCUUAGGUUCGGAAUAACUCCCCGAAAGGGGUGCUAAUACCGGAUAAUGUCUUCGGACCAAAGAUUUAUCGCCUUUGGAUGGGCCCGCGUUGGAUUAGCUAGUUGGUAGGGUAAAAGCCUACCAAGGCGACGAUCCAUAGCUGGUCUGAGAGGAUGAUCAGCCACACUGGGACUGAGACACGGCCCAGACCCCAGGGGAGGGAGGAGGGGGGGAAUAUGAAAGAGGGGGAGAGGGCAUAACCCAGAAAGCCCGGGGGAGUAAUAAGGCAGUGGGGUUUGAAUGGUUUUUUCGCCCGGGAGGACAAGGAAAGUACCGGAAGAAAAAGCGCCGGCUACCCCCGUC